rnacentral:lncRNA from 1 species
CUGUUGAUCAGAGUUAAGUAUAUGAGAAGAGGAGCUAAGGGAGUUAAGGCAUUAGAGGAAGAGAUGAAGUAUAGAAGAAGAGAUGAGUUUGGGUUGAGUGAUCCGUACAAGGCCGUACAGGCCGUACCAUCCGUACAUAGGACAUCAACCAAACUCACCAAGGUAAAGAUAAGUUACCAAGGUAACUUAGUGAAGAGGAGGAUAAGCUUUGGAGUGGAUAAGACCGCGGAGGAAGAAGGGAUGAGGCGCGGACUGACAGUCUGGCAUGGACUGGAAAGUAAACAGCAUCUAUGGGAAGAUGCUAGAUGCCUCACACACUUGGAGAAGCUCAUUGGCCGGAUUCAAAUAUAGGCUCCUCCUCCUUUUGACUUCACAUGCUUUCCUUAUCCUUUUGUGAUCGAAACCCUAAGCUCUCUUUACUAUAUAUUGUAACUCAAGGUCAUUAAUAAAGAUUAGACAGUUCUAAACAAUCUUUCUCUUUACUCAUUUCAUCAUGAUUCUCCAUUAGUGUCUAAUCAGUCUCCUAAAUCUCUUAUUCUCUUCCUUAAUCCUAUUUUAAACUCAGAUUAAUCUUUAUAUUCCUAAAAGUCAUAUGGUAUCAGAGCCAGGUUGAUUGCAAUCUGAGUUCGUGAGUGAUUCUCUUAAGGAUUCAAGUUUGAAACUUUAAGAGAACAAGUGAGUGUGUUUGAGAGUUUCUUGAGAGUUCAAAAGCUCAAGGUGUUUUGUGUGUGUCUUGGUGGUCCGCGGGAGGUUCAUUUGAAGACUCAAGAGUGUAUCUGUGUUCUAGAGAGCAGCGUGGAUUCUCAGUUCAAGAUCUAACCGGUUGAUUCAAGCUGUAGACGUCAAGCUGUUCAAGAUGGAUAGUGGCAUGAAGAUGAAGGUCGCGGUGACAUUCAAAGGAACCAACUACCUAGUCUGGUCUAGGAUGGUGAAGACUGCUGUGGGAAGCAAGGGUUUGUGGAAGCAUAUCACAUCUGGUGAGGCUCCAAUGGCGAUUACUCAGGAGGGUGAAAAGGAGAGCCCCGAGGAGAGUGUUGUAGAGAAGUGGCAACAAGAAGACAUGAUGGUGAUGUCAGUUCUUCAUGCCUCUUUGGAGCCGGCUAUACUAGAUGCUUAUAGCUACUGUGAGACAGCCAAGGAGCUGUGGGAUACUCUACAGAAAGUGUAUGGAAACACUUCUAACCUGAACCGAGUGUUUGAAGUCAAGAAGGCGAUCAAUGGGUUAACCCAAGAUGACAUGGAGUUCACUAAGCACUUGGGGAGGUUCAGGUCUCUUUGGUCUGAGUUAGAGAUGCUGAGGCCAACCACGGUUGAUCCAGAGCUUCUAAAUGAGAGACGUGAGCAGGACAAGGUCUUUGGGUUGCUGCUCACGUUGAAUGCAAGUUACAGUGGUCUCAUCCAGCACAUGCUAUGGUCCGAGAAGCUGCCUGACCUUGAAGAGGUGUGUGCUAAGAUACAGAAGGAGCAGGGCUCAAUGGGUUUGUUUGGAGGCAAGGGAGACUUAUCUCUUGCAAAUGCUGUGCAAUCUGACCGGGAAGAGCCUCCUCAAGCCAACAAAGCUGGUUACAACAAGUAUGAGGAUAGGAAGUUCAAUGGGAAUUGUGAUCAUUGCAAGAAGCAUGGCCACAAGAAGAGUCAGUGCUGGAUACUCCAUCCUCACUUGAAGCCGGCUAAGUUCAUGAAUGAGAGAGAGGCAAGAGCUCACAUGACUGAAGGAUCAAGCGGAGCAGGGCCAUCUAACCGAGGAGCUGAAGUGGAGAACCGUGAAGGAGAUGGAAAGGCUUUGGUGACCUAUACUGGAGCUAUCAACCCCGAGGCAAUGAUCAAGACUUCAUCAGGAGAUCCGAGAUGGAUGCACUCAUCAAAAUGCUCAAGGAUAAUGGUAACAUUCAUGGGUAUUCAUUUGGUGCUUCUAUGAUUGCUAGAACUAUAGAAAUGACUCCUAAUGUGGCUGAGAUUGCUAGGACUGAUAGUAAGACUGGAAUUGAGCAUUGCAUUGAUAGAAAUGCUAGGAUUAAUGCAUAUAGAUCACAAAUUAGCAUCUGCCAUAGUGCUAGCAAUACAUCCAAACCAUUGAUUAUAGAUUCAGGUGCAUCUCAUCAUAUGAUUAGUGACACCAACCUGAUUAAGGAUAUAGAACCUACUAAUGGAUGUGUGAUGAUUGCAAAUGGGGAUAAGAUACCUAUUAAGGGAAUAGGAAACUUGAAACUAUUUGAUAAGAACACUAGAGCUUUUUACAUUCCGGAAUUCACAUCAAAUCUUCUUUCAGUUAAGAAAUGCACUACUGAUUUGAAUUGCAAUGUUAUAUUCAGUCCUAAUGAUGUGAAGUUUCAGGAUAUUGAGAGCAGCCAAUUGAUUGGAAAAGGAGUUACAAAGGGAGACUUAUACAUGCUUGAGAAGCUUGAUCCUGUUUCCAAUUAUAACUGCUCAUUUACUUCUGCUUCUAGUUUGAAUAAAAAUGCAUUGUGGCAUGCUAGAUUAGGUCAUCCCCAUGAGAGGGCUUUAAACUUGAUGUUACCAGGUGUGGUUUUUGAAAAUAAUAAGUGUGAGGCUUGCAUUUUAGGCAAGCAUUGUAAGAAUGUGUUUCCAAGAACAUCUACUGUUUAUGAAAACUGCUUUGAUUUGAUUCAUACUGAUGUGUGGACUGCACCUAGUUUUUCUAGAGAUAAUCAUAAGUACUUUGUCACAUUCAUUGAUGAAAAAUCUAAAUACACCUGGUUAACACUCAUUCCAUCAAAAGAUAGGGUGAUAGAUGCAUUCAAGAACUUUCAAGCUUAUGUGACUAACCAUUAUCAUGCUAGGAUUAAAAUUUUGAGAUCAGAUAAUGGAGGAGAGUACACAAGCUAUGCGUUCAAGAGUCAUCUAGAUCACCAUGGAAUCCUUCAUCAAACAAGCUGUCCCUACACACCACAACAGAAUGGGGUAGCUGAGAGGAAGAACAGGCACUUGAUGGAAGUGGCUCGGUCACUGAUGUUCCAAGCUAAUGUACCUAAGAGAUUCUGGAGUGAUGCUGUAUCCACUGCGUGCUACCUAAUCAACAGGAUGCCUACAAAGGUGUUGAAGGAUCAAGCACCAUUUGAAGUUCUGAACAAGCGCAAGCCAUCCUUGGAAUACAUGAGAGUGUUUGGAUGCUUAUGCUAUGUUCUAGUACCAGGAGAGUUGAGGAACAAGCUAGAAGCAAGAAGCAGAAAGGCAAUGUUCAUUGGCUACUCAACAACUCAAAAAGGAUAUAAGUGUUAUGAUCCAGAAGCUAGAACGGUGCUUGUAUCUAGAGAUGUGAAGUUCAUUGAAGAAAGAGGAUACUAUGAGGAGAAGAAUCAAGAAGAUUUGAAGGAUCUCACAUCAGAUAAGGCUGGAGUCUUAAGAAUCAUUUUGGAAGGUCUCGGUAUCAAGAUGAACCAGGACCAAUCCACAAGAAGUGGAAGACAAGAAGAGAGCUCAACUGCACCAAGUGGAGCUGCUCAAACACCUCACCUUGAUCAUGAGGGGGGAAGUGAACCUGAAACUCAAGAAAAUGGCCAAGAAUGAGUCGGCUUGAGUGAGGAAGAAGAAGGAGAGUUCAACUCAGGUUCUCAUCAUCAAGGUGAGCAAGACCAAGGAGAGGAAGAACAUCAGAGUGAAGCACAAGAACCGCAUACACAAGAUGAGCCGGUUCAAGAGCAAGAACAACCUGUAUUGAGAAGAAGCACAAGACUGAGGGUCCAAGAGGAGCAGGUUCAGAACCAACCAGUAUUGAGAAGAAGCACAAGGCUGAGAAAGGAUCCUUCUACUUGGGUAAACACGCGAGUGUACUACAAUGCCCAAGCUGUGGAGCAUCCUUCUCAAGCUGUGUGUUCCUUUGCUCAAUACCCUGAAGAACAUUGUGCUUUUAUGGUGAACUUGGAUGAGAACUACAUUCCAAGAAGCUAUGAAGAGGCAAUAAUGGAUAAGCAAUGCCCAAGCAGUGGAGCAUCCUUCUCAAGCUGUGUGCUCCUUUGCUCAAUAUCCUAAAGCACAUUGCGCAUUUAUGGUAAAUCUGGAUGAGGGUUAUAUCCUAAGAAGCUAUGAAGAGGCAAUACAAGACAAGGAGUGGAAGGAAUCAGUUGGAGCUGAGGCAGGAGCCAUGAUCAAGAAUGAUACUUGGUAUGAGAGUGAGUUACCUAAAGGGAAGAAGGCUGUGACUAGUAGAUGGAUCUUCACAAUCAAGUAUAAGGCUGAUGGAACAGUUGAGAGGAAGAAGUCAAGACUGGUUGCAAGAGGUUUCACUCAAACUUAUGGAGAGGAUUACAUUGAGACCUUUGCACCAGUAGCUAAACUACACACAAUCCGGAUUGUAUUAAGCUUGGCUGUGAAUCUUGGAUGGGGGUUAUGGCAAAUGGAUGUGAAGAAUGCAUUUCUACAAGGAGAGCUGGAGGAUGAAGUGUAUAUGCAUCCACCUCCAGGCUUGGAGCACUUAGUGAAGAGAGGGGAUGAAGUAUAUAUGCAUCCACCUCCAGGCCUAGAACACUUAGUGAAGAGAGGAAAUGUAUUGAGACUGAAGAAAGCUAUCUAUGGGCUGAAGAAAUCACCAAGAGCUUGGUACAACAAGCUGAGCACUACUCUGAAUGGCCGAGGCUUCAAGAAGUCUGAACUAGACCACACCCUCUUCACUCUCACAACUCCCUCAGGUAUGAUUGCACUCCUUGUGUAUGUUGAUGACAUCAUUAUCACAGGAAGUGAUAAGGAAGGUAUCAUAGCAACCAAGGAGUUUCUUAAAUCCAUGUUUGAGAUUAAAGACUUGGGAGAAAUGAAAUACUUUCUUGGAAUUGAGAUAUGUAGAUCCAAGGAAGGUUUGUUCAUGUCCCAAAGGAAGUAUACACUUGAUCUUUUGAAAGGUGCAGGUGCUUAUGGAGGCAAGACAGCAAGGAUGCCUAUGGAGGAUGGCUACAAAGUCCCACGAGAGGGGGAGAUUGAAGACAGCAAACCUUAUCAGGAUCCUAAACUCUAUAGAAAGCUAGUUGGCAAAUUGAUUUACCUUACCAUAACUAGGCCUGACAUUUGCUUUGCUGUGAAUCAGGUGAGUCAACACAUGCAAGUGCCUAAGGAACAUCAUUGGCGCAUGGUGGAGAGAGCUGUGAAUCAGGUGAGUCAACAUAUGCAAGUGCCUAAGGAUCAUCACUGGCGUAUGGUGGAGAGAAUUCUGAUGUAUCUCAACGGCUCACCUGAUCAAGGAAUAUGGAUGGGUUGCAAUGGGAGCACUGAAGUGGUUGGAUACUGUGAUGCGGAUUGGGCUGGUGAUAGAGCAGACAGGAGAUCAACCACAGGCUAUUGCACAUUCAUUGGAGGCAACUUGGUUACUUGGAAGAGUAAGAAGCAGAAGGUGGUGUCUUGCUCAAGUGCAGAAGCUGAGUAUAGAGCUAUGCUGAAGCUGACCAACGAGCUGGUGUGGAUCAAGGGCAUCUUGAAGCAUUUGGAGAUUGAUCAAGCCACGCCAAUGACAAUGCAUUGUGAUAACCAAGCUGCCAUCCACAUUGCCUCCAACUCGGUGUUCCAUGAGAGAACCAAGCACAUUGAAGUGGAUUGCCACAAGGUGAGGCAGAUGAUCAUCUUAGGAGUCAUCUUGCCAUGCUACACAAGGAGUGAAGAUCAGUUGGCUGAUGUGUUCACCAAGGCUGCAAGACAGAAGACAAUGGAGUCCAUUCACAUCAGGUUGGGCCUCAUUGAUCUUGGGAAGAGAAGGAGCUGAUCCCCUUUGGCUGUGAGGUCUUUACUCUUUUUCCCUUAUCAAGGUUUUAUCCCAAUGGGUUUUCCUUGGUAAGGUUUUUAAUGAGGAAGAUCUCAUAGCUGUCCAAGCUUAGACUUUCACAAAGCUAAGCUUGAGGGGGAGUGUUGAUCAGAGUUAAGUAUAUGAGAAGAGGAGCUAAGGAAGUUAAGGCAUUAGAGGAAGAGAUGAAGUAUAGAAGAAGAGAUGAGUUUGGGUUGAGUGAUCCGUACAAGGCCGUACAGGCCGUACCAUCCGUACAUAGGACAUCAACCAAACUCACCAAGGUAAAGAUAAGUUACCAAGGUAACUUAGUGAAGAGGAGGAUAAGCUUUGGAGUGGAUAAGACCGCGGAGGAAGAAGGGAUGAGGCGCGGACUGACAGUCUGGCAUGGACUGGAAAGUAAACAGCAUCUAUGGGAAGAUGCUAGAUGCCUCACACACUUGGAGAAGCUCAUUGGCCGGAUUCAAAUAUAGGCUCCUCCUCCUUUUGACUUCACAUGCUUUCCUUAUCCUUUUGUGAUCGAAACCCUAAGCUCUCCUUACUAUAUAUUGUAACUCAAGGUCAUUAAUAAAGAUUAGACAGUUCUAAACAAUCUUUCUCUUUACUCAUUUCAUUAUGAUUCUCCAUUAGUUUCUAAUCAGUCUCCUAAAUCUCUUAUUCUCUUCCUUAAUCCUAUUCUAAACUCAGAUUAAUCUUUAUAUUCCUAAAAGUCAUAAGGAAAACUGGGAUCACCUGAUUUGAAAGUGGGAUAGCUUCUUCAUCCUAACUCCUAUGAGAUUUAUUCAACUUCCUAGUGAUUCUCCAUUACUUUAUGUGUCAAAAUCAAGCUUCUUACAUCAAGAUUCAUCUUGGUUUGAUCAGAAUGACAAGGAAGAUGUCAUAUUCCUAAACAGGAAAACUGGGAUCACCUGAUUUGAAAGUGGGAUAGCUUCUUCAUCCUAACUCCUAUGAGAUUUAUUCAACUUCCUAAUGGUUCUCCACUACUUUAUGUAUCCAAUUCAAGCUUCUUACAUCACGAUUCAUCCUGGUUUGAUUAGAAUGACAAAGAAGCUAUCAUAUUCCCAAACAGGAAAAC